AACUAUCCUGGGUACCACCCAACAGUAGAAGUUACUCUGGAAUAUCAGCCCAUGUCUUCAUAUUUCUUUGAGGCUCUCAGUAAGGAUUCUGAAUUACUGUGCCCAUCUUAUUACUAACUAGAAGAAGCAAAAUCUGCAAGUGCUCCAAAAUCUUUCUGGCUGAACUUUCUGAAUUCUAUACCAUUGAUGAACUUGUAGAAUGGCAUGAUGGAGAUCUCUACCUCUCCACCAUCCGCCUCCUAGAGUUGUACUAGAUGGCUCAUUGAGGAAGCUGAAGUAGUAAAGCUUGUGC
rnacentral:lncRNA from 1 species